rnacentral:rRNA from 1 species
CAGUAGCCGCGGGAAUACGUAGGGUGCAAGCGUUAAUCGGAAUUACUGGGCGUAAAGCGUGCGCAGGCGGUUAUAUAAGACAGAUGUGAAAUCCCCGGGCUCAACCUGGGAACUGCAUUUGUGACUGUAUAGCUAGAGUACGGCAGAGGGGGAUGGAAUUCCGCGUGUAGCAGUGAAAUGCGUAGAUAUGCGGAGGAACACCGAUGGCGAAGGCAAUCCCCUGGGCCUGCACUGACGCUCAUGCACGAAAGCGUGGGGAGCAAACAGGAUUAGAUACCCCAGUAGUCCCUGUCUCUUAUAC